AGAUUAAGUUAUUAAGGGCGCACGGUGGAUGCCUUGGCACUAGAAGCCGAUGAAGGACGUUACUAACGACGAUAUGCUUUGGGGAGCUGUAAGUAAGCUUUGAUCCAGAGAUUUCCGAAUGGGGAAACCCAGCAUGAGUUAUGUCAUGUUAUCGAUAUGUGAAUACAUAGCAUAUCAGAAGGCACACCCGGAGAACUGAAACAUCUUAGUACCCGGAGGAAGAGAAAGAAAAUUCGAUUCCCUUAGUAGCGGCGAGCGAAACGGGAAGAGCCCAAACCAACAAGCUUGCUUGUUGGGGUUGUAGGACACUCUAUACGGAGUUACAAAGGACGACAUUAGACGAAUCAUCUGGAAAGAUGAAUCA
rnacentral:rRNA from 1 species